GGAUGUGAGGGCGAUCUGGCUGCCACAUCUGUCACCCCAUUGAUUGCCAGGGCUGAUUAGGCUGAUCUGGCUGGCUAGGCAGGUAUCCCCUUCCUCCCUCACGGCUGGACGUGCAUCCCUCCCGAAGCUGUGUGCUCGAAGAGGACGACCUUCCCCGAAUAGAGGAGGACCGGUCUUCGGUAAAGGGUAUAAGAGUAGCUGAGCUCCCCUGCUAGAAACUCCAAACAAGCUCUCAAGGUCCAUUUCCUCCUUCUUGCCUCCUCUCAUGCACUCCUGUUCUGUGUCUCUUCAGAAAAGAGCAGGUCCCCUAUGGCUAUCAAUAAAUCAUGGCAUAU
ensembl:misc_RNA 7SK 7SK RNA